rnacentral:rRNA from 1 species
GACGAACGCUGGCGGCGUGCUUAACACAUGCAAGUCGAACGGAAAGGCCCCCACUUUUUUGGUGGGGGUGCUCGAGUGGCGAACGGGUGAGUAACACGUGGGUGAUCUGCCCUGUACUUCGGGAUAAGCUUGGGAAACUGGGUCUAAUACCGGAUAGGACCAUGGUUUAGUGUCUCAUGGUGGAAAAAUUAUUGUUUUGGUGCAGGAUGAGCUCGCGGCCUAUCAGCUUGUUGGUGGGGUAAUGGCCUACCAAGGCGUCGACGGGUAGCCGGCCUGAGAGGGUGGACGGCCACAUUGGGACUGAGAUACGGCCCAGACUCCUACGGGAGGCAGCAGUGGGGAAUAUUGCACAAUGGGCGCAAGCCUGAUGCAGCGACGCCGCGUGGGGGAUGACGGCCUUCGGGUUGUAAGCUCCUUUCGUUAGGGACGAAGCCGCACCUUUUUUGGGUGUGGUGACGGUACCUUUGUUAAGAAGCACCGGCUAACUACGUG